UACGGAGGGAGCUAGCGUUGUUCGGAAUUACUGGGCGUAAAGCGCGCGUAGGCGGCUUUGUAAGUUAGAGGUGAAAGCCCGGGGCUCAACUCCGGAACUGCCCUUAAGACUGCAUCGCUUGAAUCCGGGAGAGGUGAGUGGAAUUCCGAGUGUAGAGGUGAAAUUCGUAGAUAUUCGGAAGAACACCAGUGGCGAAGGCGGCUCACUGGACCGGUAUUGACGCUGAGGUGCGAAAGCGUGGGAGCGAACAGG
rnacentral:rRNA from 1 species